AGUCGAGCGGAUGAGAGGAGCUUGCUCCUCGAUUCAGCGGCGGACGGGUGAGUAAUGCCUAGGAAUCUGCCUAGUAGUGGGGGACAACGUUUCGAAAGGAACGCUAAUACCGCAUACGUCCUACGGGAGAAAGUGGGGGAUCUUCGGACCUCACGCUAUUAGAUGAGCCUAGGUCGGAUUAGCUAGUUGGUAGGGUAAAGGCCUACCAAGGCGACGAUCCGUAACUGGUCUGAGAGGAUGAUCAGUCACACUGGAACUGAGACACGGUCCAGACUCCUACGGGAGGCAGCAGUGGGGAAUAUUGGACAAUGGGCGAAAGCCUGAUCCAGCCAUGCCGCGUGUGUGAAGAAGGCCUUCGGGUCGUAAAGCACUUUAAGUUGGGAGGAAGGGCUCAUAGCGAAUACCUGUGAGUUUUGACGUUACCAACAGAAUAAGCACCGGCUAACUUCGUGCCAGCAGCCGCGGUAAUACGAAGGGUGCAAGCGUUAAUCGGAAUUACUGGGCGUAAAGCGCGCGUAGGUGGCUUGAUAAGUUGGAUGUGAAAUCCCCGGGCUCAACCUGGGAACUGCAUCCAAAACUGUCUGGCUAGANNGCGGUAGAGGGUAGUGGAAUUUCCAGUGUAGCGGUGAAAUG
rnacentral:rRNA from 1 species